rnacentral:rRNA from 1 species
UACGAAGGGUGCAAGCGUUGCUCGGAAUUAUUGGGCGUAAAGCGCACGUAGGCGGCAUAGCAAGUCGGAUGUGAAAUCCCUCGGCUCAACCAAGGAAGUGCAUCCGAAACUGCUGUGCUUGAGUACGAAAGAGGAUCGCGGAAUUCCCGGUGUAGAGGUGAAAUUCGUAGAUAUCGGGAGGAACACCAGUGGCGAAGGCGGCGAUCUGGGUCGAUACUGACGCUGAGGUGCGAAAGCGUGGGGAGCAAACAGG